rnacentral:rRNA from 1 species
GCUCACCACUUUGUGGUUCAUGACUGGGGUGAAGUCGUAACAAGGUAGCGCUAGGGGAACCUGGCGCUGGAUCACCUCCUUAUACGA